UCCUUUAAAGGAAAAGUGCCACCUUCUUGAAAUAUGAAGAUAUCGUUGGUUUUUAUUUUGACAUUAUUAUUUUCCAUUUUCUUUUCAAAACCGGUGCCAGAAGUGCAUAAUUCGCUAAAAAGUAUUUCAAACUAUUUAACAUAUUGGUACUAUGUUUAUACUCUCUACCGCAGCUACUGUAUGAUGUCAUAGCAAUGACGUCACACUCAAGCCAAUCAGCCUUGAGGAGGAUAGACUCGUCGGACUGUAGCGGUUGUAAACAACUUGUCGCCCCGUGUGUCUGCCCGUGGCGCUAGUUAUCUGUCGAAGUUACCACUGACAAUGCCCAAAACAAGAACAACAAAGGCCCAAAGGUGGCUGUUUGGUAGUGCGCAAAGCUGCUGGUGGUGGUGGACGUCUCUGCCCUGACGCGCGGCGUGCGUCUGCUCAGUGUGGAGGUGCCGCUGACAGCGGUGCCGGCCGGACCGGCUGCCUCUCCGGCGGCCGACAUUGAGCGCGGCACGUGUCCGGCGCCGUUCGGGCCGCUGCAGCUGCUGCAGUCGGCGGCGCAGCUGUCCGUCUCCGUGUCGCUGGCCGUGCCGCUGGACCUGCUGCCGCGGCCGGCGCCGGCGCGCUGCGCCUACGGCCGCCUGCUGGCCGUCGUCUCGCAGCGCGGCCUGCAGCGCAGCGGCGUGCUGCAGCUCAUCCAGCAGCUCAACGAGCCGCCCAGCCCGGCGGCGGCCGAGGGCGCCGCGCCGCGCCGGCCCGGCGACGUCAGCACACCUGGCAUCAGCGGCUUCUGCCUGGCCGACCGUCAGCUGCACCUGCUGUUCGCCGAGGGGCGCGCCGACGCCGAGCUGGAACAGACGGCGGCCGCGCCGCGCGCUCUGCCGCGCCGCGACGCUCGACUCUGCCACCACUCGGGCCUACUGUUUAGGGAGCUGUUUAGGAGCCUGUACCCGCGCCAGCCGGCCGCGUUCCGCGUGCUCGAGGACCGCCCGCUACGCGCCCAGCUGCUCGACACCCGCCUCUACACGUUACAGAAACAGGAGCCGGCGCGCGCCGUCCGCGCCAUCAGAGAGUGCUUCCGCACGCAGUGGCUGUCGGAAAAUGAACCUGCUUCCCAACGAGGCCGGCCUGCAACAACUGCUGGCCGGCUGUUGGCCGAAAAAAAACGCCUUCAACCGGAUGUCAGUUGUCAAAUCAACGCGUAUUAAUGCAUUCACUAGGAUGGGCUUACGUAAAGCUGUAGAAUUGCAAAUAUAUAAUGGCACUGUUUUUGA